GUAGGGUGCAAGCGUUAAUCGGAAUUACUGGGCGUAAAGCGUGCGCAGGCGGUUUGGUAAGUCUGUCGUGAAAGCCCCGGGGCUAACCUGGGGAAUUGCGAUGGAGACUGCAAGGCUUGAAUCUGGCAGAGGGGGGUAGAAUUCCACGUGUAGCAGUGAAAUGCGUAGAGAUGUGGAGGAACACCGAUGGCGAAGGCAGCCCCCUGGGUCAAGAUUGACGCUCAUGCACGAAAGCGUGGGGAGCAAACAGGAUUAGAUACCCUGGUAGUCCACGCCCUAAACGAUGUCUACUAGUUGUCGGGUCUUAAUUGACUUGGUAACGCAGCUAACGCGUGAAGUAGACCGCCUGGGGAGUACGGUCGCAAAGAUUA
rnacentral:rRNA from 1 species